UACGUAGGGUGCAAGCGUUGUCCGGAAUUAUUGGGCGUAAAGAGCUCGUAGGCGGUUUGUCGCGUCGAAUGUGAAAACCCGGGGCUCAACCCCGGGCCUGCAUUCGAUACGGGCAGACUAGAGUUCGGUAGGGGAGUCUGGAAUUCCUGGUGUAGCGGUGAAAUGCGCAGAUAUCAGGAGGAACACCGGUGGCGAAGGCGGGACGUCUGGGCCGGAUACUGACGCUGAGGAGCGAAAGCGUGGGGAGCAAACAGG
rnacentral:rRNA from 1 species